GUCGACGAUUACUCCUACGGGAGGCAGCAGUGGGGAAUAUUGGACAAUGGGCGCAAGCCUGAUCCAGCCAUGCCGCGUGUGUGAAGAAGGCCUUCGGGUUGUAAAGCACUUUCGGACGGAACGAAAUCGUCCCCGUUAAUAGCGGGGAUGGAUGACGGUACCGUAAGAAGAAGCACCGGCUAACUACGUGCCAGCAGCCGCGGUAAU
rnacentral:rRNA from 1 species